AUGGCCUGUGAGUUCCAAUUAUUUGAUAUUGAUGAUGAUGGUGAUGAUGAUGGGCUGAACAUAUGGAAAACUCACCCUGUACAGAAGAGAGUCUAGGGCUUGCUCAGAUACUGAAAGGGGGAUGGGGCUGCUGGGGAACAGGCAGGCUGACCCCUGAAGUGGCUCCUGUGCGGCUGAGUUUGACAGGUGUAAAGAAGGGGGAGACAGAGUCCCUGGCUGCUCCUGAUCUCACACGAGGAGGAUCGUUGGGAGGGCAGGGCCACAGGCUGAAUCCAGGAGAAGAUUAGCACACCCAGGUAAUACAAACGCCUUCCAGAGAUUCUCUUGGAGCCGAAGGAGACAAAUCUGUAGCUAGUUCUGCUGCAGAUCCAGAGGACCAACUAUCCAACGGGUGCCCAGCAUGAGAAACACUGUCAAGCACACAGAAGGAGAAGCUUUGGACAAAACAGAGGAAGAAAAGCUUAGUCAGGAAAAGAAUGGAUUCUGGUAAUGAAGGCC